GUGUGUUUUAAAUGUUUUUAAGGUUGACCUUGACCUUUGACCUUUCAACUUUUUAGUCGAUAUCUCAAAAACGGUUAAUCUUACAGAAAUAGUAAACAGUGAAUAAUGUUUAGGUGACUGAGGCACAACUUUUUUACAUUUUGACCGAAAGGAUUUGACAUAUUCUUAAGGGGCAUAACCCCCGUUAACGGUUUCUGAAAAGGUAAAAUUAGCUUUAACUCUUGAAC
rnacentral:lncRNA from 1 species